GUCGAUGGCCAUACCACUUUGAAUGUGCCCAAUCUUGUCUGAUCUCAGAAGCUAAGCAGGGUCAGGCCUGGUUAGUACUUGGAUGUGAGGAAUCUUGUCCUCUGCUGAAA
rnacentral:rRNA from 1 species